CCCACCCACCGGAGCCUAUCCUCUCCUCUCCCUCUCUCCCUCCAGCGCGGAUCCUCGUCGAACUCCAUACCGUCGAGCUCGCCGUCGCGGAUCCUCGUCGAACUCCGACCUGCCCUGGUGACGGCCGGCCCAAGUCCUCCGUCGACGGCAUCCCCCUCUCCUCCCCAUCUUUUCCAGUGACGUCCUCAUGCCGAUUCGCCUCCUCCCCGACGAUCUCUCUUCGCCAGAGGCUCGGAGGCGCCGACAUCCCUCCUCGCCUACCCAACGCCGGUCGGGGAUGACCGUCGGCUGCCUCCUCCUCCUCCCCUCAGAGCAGCCGUACGUGGCGCAUGAUGAGGACUACGAGGCGGACAAGUAUGAGGACCCAGACAUGCGGGACUCCAUGACAGGACAUUGUCGAGUUCAGCACAACCGUGGUGAUGCCCUGUAGGUCCCUGCUCCCUCUCACCAAUGGUUCCCUGCAGCAGGGUGCCCUCUUUAGAAGAGGAUUGUGGUGCUCAAACGCAGCACCAACCAGAUCGAUCAACCUCUGGCCAUGUAGGAGACCUGCUUGUGAGGAAAAGAUCAUUUGUUCGCAAUAAGGAUAAGAUAAUAAAAACUGAUUGGAAUGUUGUGGAGACGCCUUUUUAUUUUGGGCUUGCAAAGCGAAUAAAGGUCGAUUCUCCGUAGUUGUAGUUGCAGCGAUCGUUCUUGCCGUGUCUAUAUAACUAUUUGUAGUGCUAAUGAACUAGCAGUGGUAGAUACAUGGUGGCAUAAAGCACACUUGCAUGCUUCUGCUUAUGUACACUGAUUUAAUCCAUUGUUUAUUUUAAAUCUCCAAUGCACUUUUCAUAUAUGACCGCGGCCUCUACGAGGUCCGGACUGUGGUCAGGGAUGUUGGUCCCAGUGUUGGGUGGCCUACCCUCACUAAAACCAACUACGUCGAGUGGGCCGGGAUCAUGAAGGUCAGGCUCCAGGUGUGGCGCAUGUGGGAGGCAGUCCAGGACAGCAACGUCGACCACCUAGAGGAUCGACGGGCGCUGGACGCCCUCAUCGCCGCAGUCCCGUCCGAGAUGCAGUUCUCGCUUUCCAACAAACGGACUGCCAAGGAGGCUUGGGACGCCAUCGCCGCAGCACGCAUCGGCAGCGACCGUGCUCGCAAGUCCACCCUGCAGGCACUUCGUAAGGAGUGGGAGAACCUGGGCUUCAAGCCAAGUGAGGACGUUGAUGACUUUGCUCUCCGUCUCAACACUUUGCUGCAAAAGAUGGUGAAGUUUGGC